rnacentral:rRNA from 1 species
UACGUAGGGCGCAAGCGUUAUCCGGAAUUAUUGGGCGUAAAGAGCUCGUAGGCGGUUUGUCGCGUCUGCCGUGAAAGUCCGGGGCUCAACUCCGGAUCUGCGGUGGGUACGGGCAGACUAGAGUGCGGUAGGGGAGAUUGGAAUUCCUGGUGUAGCGGUGGAAUGCGCAGAUAUCAGGAGGAACACCGAUGGCGAAGGCAGAUCUCUGGGCCGGUAACUGACGCUGAGGAGCGAAAGCAUGGGGGAGCGAACAGG